CCUACGGGUUGCAGCAGUGGGGAAUAUUGCACAAUGGGCGCAAGCCUGAUGCAGCCAUGCCGCGUGUAUGAAGAAGGCCUUCGGGUUGUAAAGUACUUUCAGCGAGGAGGAAGGCAUUAAGGUUAAUAACCUUGGUGAUUGACGUUACUCGCAGAAGAAGCACCGGCUAACUCCGUGCCAGCAGCCGCGGUAAUACGGAGGGUGCAAGCGUUAAUCGGAAUUACUGGGCGUAAAGCGCACGCAGGCGGUUUGUUAAGUCAGAUGUGAAAUCCCCGGGCUCAACCUGGGAACUGCAUCUGAUACUGGCAAGCUUGAGUCUCGUAGAGGGGGGUAGAAUUCCAGGUGUAGCGGUGAAAUGCGUAGAGAUCUGGAGGAAUACCGGUGGCGAAGGCGGCCCCCUGGACAAAGACUGACGCUCAGAUGCGAAAGCGUGGGGAGCAAACAGGAUUAGAUACCCGGGUAGUC
rnacentral:rRNA from 1 species